AAAUAACCGAAGCCAUUUUUCAUCUCUUCCCUUCUUUUCCUCCGGCGCAGCCGUCGCUCUCGAUUUCUCCGAAACGGCAACUUCUUAAGUCUCAUCUUACGCUGCCGCCCAACCCACAAGGCCUCCCCUUCUGCCAUCGCUAGCCUCGUCUCAAUCUCAUUUCAAUUUUUUAGUAUCUCCUUCAACCUUUCUCUCAUCUCAGUGUCGGCUCUCGCUUCUACACAAACGACCUUCAACUUCAAGCUCGCCGCUCCUGGUAUUGAAGGAAUUUUUGUCAAGCUUUGAGAUUUUGGGGUUCCAAGAUUGUGUUUCUAUGAGUUGUUAUAGAAUCCACAGGCAUUCAACCUAGCCAUGGAAGUUCUACUUUCAACAAUUGGAAAAAUUGGACAGUGCUUUGUUGAGCCAAUUGGGCAUCAAUGUGGCUACUGUAUUCACUACCACAGUAACAUUGAAAAACUCGAGGAGCAUGUUGAAAAACUAGAGGCAACACGAAAAGAUGUAGAGGCAUCCAUAACUACAGCAGAAAGAAAUGGUGAGGUUAUCAAAAAAGAGGUUGAGAACUGGACAUCAAGGGCUGAUGGGGCCAUAUCGGAGGCUACAAAAUUUCUACAAGGUGUUAAGGAAGUGAGGUUUCUUGAUUGGAUUUCUCGUUAUCGGCUGGGAAGGAAAGUUGCAAAGAAAACAAUAGCUAUGGAGGAGCUUAAAAAAGAUGGUAAGUUUGAUCGAGUUGCCAGCCAUGCACCUCCUCCAGGGGUGCUUUCCAUG
rnacentral:misc_RNA from 1 species